CCCCAGCAUCAAGAGUCGGGAUAAUGCCCGGCACCAACCUGCUCCCGAGCAAGGUGGUACCUUCGCAGACAUGCGAAGGGAUGUGGCCGGACCGGCAACAAACGGGUUUUCC
rfam:Novosphingobium sp. ST904 contig_4, whole genome shotgun sequence.